ACAAUGAAGAUGAAGAAGAAGAAUAUACAAUGGGAGUUUCCUCCGAGGAUGAAGACAGAUCCUCAUCCGAUACAGACUCUGAACAAGUGGGCGAACCACCACGCAAGAAAGUAAAGGGCGCAAACAAACGAAAAUAAGUUUUGCGUUCAUCGAUUUUUAUAACCUAUGUAUCUAUGU